UACGUAGGGGGCGAGCGUUGUCCGGAGUUACUGGGCGUAAAGGGCGCGCAGGCGGUCUGGUAAGUUUGGAGUGACAGUGCUCGGCUUGACUGAGCAAGGCCUUCGAAAACUGCUAGACUUGAGCACUCAAGAGGGACAUAGAAUUCCGGGUGGAGUGGUGAAAUGCGUAGAUAUCCGGAGGAAUACCAAAGGCGAAGGCAGUGUCCUGGGGAGUGUCUGACGCUCAGGCGCGAAAGCUAGGGGAGCGAACAGG
rnacentral:rRNA from 1 species